ensembl:lncRNA
GGGAUAUUUACGAUGACGACAACCUUCGUCUCCGUUGGCAAAGAGACACCGAGACUACACGUUAAAAAAUAAAACAAGACAUUAGAAGACCUCAUCUUAGACUCUGGGAAACUGGGACGGACGUCUCCACUGCUGUCUUGCAUUUAGGAGACUGACUGGCCUUCUGUCAGCAGAGACUUCAGCUGGGGCGGCUGGGAACAAACAGUCCACAGCGAAAGGAUGUCACAGGGAAACCUCCUCUGGCCCAUCAACACCUCGUCUUGUAGAGGUGGACAGGUGAAUUGAUCAUCACUGGGGUGAGGAGUGGAGGCUGGACUGUCCAUUGUAUGGCAGGUUGAAGUGCGUUGCGUAACGGAUGAAGAGCAGACCGAUCAGUUCCAUCAGUCCCAUCAUGCUCCUCUCUCUUCCUCUGGGGAUUGUCUGCUCUCCAGGGCCUCAGUACAGCUAUAAAACCGGUCCAGCAGUAGAAGAGUGGGAUUUUCAUCAUCACAGCGACUUGGGGGCCAUCAAAGUGCCUGUGAUCUCACAUCUCAUGCAUUUGCAUCCCGCGUGAGAAUUUAUCACUCCUUUCUGUUGGAGCUGCAGGAGCAGAAAAUCUUCUCUCCCCGUGAGUCCAAGUGAAUGAGAAUGGAGUGUUUUUGUCAUUAGAGGAGAUUGAAAACAUAGUAAACAACCACAGACCACUGGCUCAUGAGUCUCUCUGGCAGUUUAAGGAUUUCCCUCUACACCAGGAAUGCUGCUUCAAGCGACGGUUUUGUUUUAUUGGCUUGUCAUCAGCUGUCUUUUAGAUUCUCCUCACAUGCAGCUCCUGAGGACACACAGAGUGUUUCACUUAAGACUCGAUGCAGCAGUUUCUGCGCUGAUUGGGGUCAUCGCAUCCAAACCUUAGUCUGCAUCCAAUGUGUGCUGAGUUUCAGAGCGUGACUGUGAACUAAUCCUGCUUUGCUCUGCUCACCUGCAACCUCACUUACAUCUUUGCAGUUGUGGCCGUAGUUUCUGCUACAGCAGCGUCUUUAGUUUGUAUGACUGCUGAAUUCUUUUUUGGCUCAUUUUUAAAAAAAUCUUUGCUAUUUUUUGCCAGUUGUUCUUUGUAUAGUAUAAUGGCCAGUCUCUGGUAACAGAAAUGUAUCAUCUCCUUAACAAACUGUUUUUUAUCCAUCUUCUACAUCCAGAGUUUGAGAUCUGGUCUUCUAGUCCUGUAGAGUAAAAGUCAAAGAUUUGAAAACUCUAUUGUAUCUUCUCUCAACUGAACUUGUAUUUUUUAAAAAAAGU